rnacentral:tRNA from 2 species
GCCCUCAUAGCUCAGUCGGUAGAGCAGCUCCCUUUUAAGGAGACGGUCGCAGGUUCGAAUCCUGCUGAGGGCA